rnacentral:misc_RNA from 1 species
GAUGAAGAACGUAGCGAAAUGCGAUAAGUAAUGUGAAUUGCAGAAUUCAGUGAAUCAUCGAAUCUUUGAACGCACCUUGCGCUCUCUGGUAUUCCGGAGAGCAUGCCUGUUUGAGUAUCAUGAAAUCUCAACCAUUAGGGUUUCUUAAUGGCUUGGAUUUGGGCGUUGCCAGUUGCCUGGCUCGCCUUAAAAGAGUUAGCGUGUUUAACUUGUCAUAUCUGGCGUAAUAAGUUUCGCUGGUGUACGACUUGAGAAGUGCGCUUCUAAUCGUCCUCGGACAAUUCUUGAACUCUGGUCUCAAAUCAGGUAGGACUACCCGCUGAACUUAAGCAUAUCAAUAAGCGGAGGA